AACGAACGCUGGCGGCAUGCCUAACACAUGCAAGUCGAACGAGACCUUCGGGUCUAGUGGCGCACGGGUGCGUAACGCGGGGGAACCUGCCCUUAGGUUCGGAAUAACUCCCCGAAAGGUGUGCUAAGACCGGUUAAUGUCUUCGCACCAACGAUUUAUCGCCGUGGGAUGGGCGCGCGUUGGAUUAGCGAGUUGGUAGGGUAAAAGCCGAGCAAGGCGACGUUCCAUAGCUGGUCUGAGAGGAUGAUCAGCCACAAUGGGGAUGAGACACGGCCCAGAAUGGUACGGGAGGCAGCAGUGGGGAAUAUAGGGGGAGGAGCGAUAGCGUAGUCCAGCAGUGCGGCGUAAGUGAGGAAGGGCUUAGGGUUGUGAAGCUCUCUGUCCCGGGAUGAUAAUGACGGUACCGGGUGAAUAAGCUCCGGCUAACUACGUG
rnacentral:rRNA from 1 species